CUAACGCGUUAAGUUAUCCGCCUGGGGAGUACGGCCGCAAGGCUAAAACUCAAAGGAAUUGACGGGGACCCGCACAAGCGGUGGAGCAUGUGGUUUAAUUCGAUGCAACGGCGAAGAACCUUACCUGGUCUUGACAUACAGAGAACUUUCCAGAGAUGGAUUGGUGCCUUCGGGAACUCUGAUACAGGUGCUGCAUGGCUGUCGUCAGCUCGUGUCGUGAGAUGUUGGGUUAAGUCCCGUAACGAGCGCAACCCUUAUCCUUAUUUGCCAGCACAUUAUGGUGGGAACUAUAAGGAGACUGCCGGUGAUAAACCGGAGGAAGGCGGGGACGACGUCAAGUCAUCAUGGCCCUUACGACCAGGGCUACACACGUGCUACAAUGGGAAGGACAAAGGGUCGCUAAGCCGCGAGGUGGUGCUAAUCUCAUAAACCUUUUCGUAGUCCGGAUCGGAGUCUGCAACUCGACUCCGUGAAGUCGGAAUCGCUAGUAAUCGUGGAUCAGAAUGCCACGGUGAAUACGUUCCCGGGUCUUGUACACACCGCCCGUCAUACCAUGGGAGUGGGUUGCACCAGAAGUAGCUAGUCUAACUGUUUACAGGGGACGGUUACCACGGUGUGAUCCAUGACUGGGGUAAAGUCGUAACAAGGUA
rnacentral:rRNA from 1 species